UGGCUCUCUUGCUCAGAUUCUACGAUCCACUACAAGGAAGCGUCAUAAUCGACGGGAAGAACAUAAAAGAAUAUAACCUAAGGAUGUUGAGGAGACAAAUUGGACUCGUCCAGCAGGAACCGUUACUGUUCAGCUGUUCAAUUAGGGAUAACAUCAAGUACGGAAAGGAAGAAGCAAGCGAAUCAGAAAUCGUUCAAGUUUCAAGGGAAGCAAACAUACAUGGCUUUGUGAGCAAUUUGCCCGACGGGUACGAUACGGUGGUUGGGGACAGAGGCUGCCAACUUUCGGGAGGGCAGAAACAGAGGAUCGCCAUUGCUAGAACUUUACUGAAGAGGCCGACGAUUCUGCUGUUGGAUGAGGCGAC
rnacentral:lncRNA from 1 species